ensembl:lncRNA
CAAGGGAAUGGGCACAAUUGUGCUUUAUUGCUGUACAGGUAUUUAUAAAACAUUGGAAACAAAACAUGAAACAACACAUAUAUAAUUCUGAUUUUCCACAAACACAAUGUAUGCAGGUAAAAUAUACUGUAUGUCUGUCAAAAAGAAGGGGAAGAAAACAACAACUAUGAAAACAAGGCUGUGAUAUAUACCUAUGUGCUAAAAUAUGUAUCAUUGGAAUACUGUACAUGGACUGAGAACAGUAAAAUGCCCUUCUGCACUGGCUUUAGCACCAGACAUCUGGUCUAGGAACCUUAUGACAAAGAGAGGGAGACCUGACUAUGAAUGAAAAAUGACAGUACCUAGUUCUUUAGAUCUGUUGUGAAGUCAGAAAACACAUUGGGGAUCGGGGUUGGGGGACAUAUGUGUGUAGCUUUUACUGUAUUUUAAGGUUUCCUUUGGAAGGGGAAACAUGGUAGGGUGACAAGCGCAUAGGAGACAUGACAGUGUGAAAUGGCAGUGUGAAAUGGCAGUGUGAAAUGGCAGUGUGAAAUGGCAGUGUGACAUGGCAGUGUGAAAUGGCAGUGUGAAAUGGCAGUGUGAAAUGGCAGUGUGACAUGGCAGUGUGAGACAGUGCAGUGAUUCACAGUGUAAAGGGUAAAAUGAUAUUCAAAUAUCAAGCGUUAACUGCCGUGCAUCGGUGGGUAAGAGGAAAUGAUGAGUGGUCAGAUCAUGCAGAGAGACAAAGAACUAACAUCCUGUCUGAAAUGCCUUAAAAAAGUAUGCAUACCUCUUCAUCCAUGUUUUCACUGCUUCACUAAAUCAUUCAUAGUAGUAUGGGAUAAAUAGACACAAUACAAAACAGGACGAACCUUAACCCUCUUUAGUGGUGGACCUCAGCACAUCGGAGUAGGAGUGGUACACCUACCUAUAUGAAGUGAUUUAUUUUGUGUGUAGGAUACUGGUAUUGACUGGUACUGUCUCAAUGUAAGUAGUGUAUACUGUGUGCACUGUGGCAGCUCUGUCCAAUAGUCAUAUGUACAUGAUGUAGAACUACAAUAUGACCAACUGUAUUGUUCUAUCCAGACGUGUUGUUUCACCUCCGUUCCAAUCCUAAAGCAUCGUCCAAUCACAUAUAGACAUGGUAUCUUAACACUAUCACUUUGAAAUACUGUAUUCCAUUGUCGUUAGCAGAGCUUUGGUGUUCAGAAGGUCUGGUUAUGUGGCUCACUCCUAGUCAAUGUUUGAUGUGAUCUUCGCCCAAUUUCUAUAGAAAAUGUAGUGUUUCUUAUCACAUACACACUCACACGCACACACGGCUCAAUCAACAACCAAGGACGCGCUAGUGAUGGCGCUGCUAAUUCCUAAUACAAGAUCAAUCAGACUGUUGAAGGGUGAUCAGUGUAAAUGAGAAAUCAAUCAGAACUAUUGGUACUUCCUGGCUUUUACAGUCAAACCAAUCUUCUAAGAACCAACGGCUUGCAGAGGCACACCCAUCCAAUUUACCAUGGUCAGAUUACCCUCCCCAAUCAUAACCGUAACCAUUAGGGGGAUGUUAAAAUAUCUGAUCCUAUAUCAGUGGUUAGGGGCAACUUCUAGCUACUCCUUUACGAUGUGGAAACCCCACCAAACAUCAAUAUUGUGCAAUUUAUCAUCCAAACAACCAUCAGACAAAUGAUGGAAACCUCAGUCUUUCGCCACUGUAAUAUUGUCUUACAAUGGUGUCGCAGGGAAACAAACAAACAAACUAAAUAAAUACAGUAUAAAGAAGUUUCAUAGUAGUAGACAAUCAUUCCGCAAAAAAGGUGUUCACAUUAUAAAAUAAACCUCUUCUCUUUGCCUCAGUCAUUGCAUUAAACCCAAGACAAUCAUAUAAUUCUCCAUCUGCCAUAUAGACAAUUCUCCAAAUCCCUUUCCAUCUUCCCAUUUCUGUGCUAUUCUGAUAUAGUAAAUUAAAACAUUUGACAAUUAAACAUAGGCCAUUAUUUACAGGGAGGUUACCCUGGCAAUGCCCUCUGACCCCUACAGUAUCUUGGAGGGGGUGUUGGGAUGUUGCAGGGUUUGGGAGGGAAAUAAAGAAGGUGAUUGAGGAGGAUGGGGUAGCUUUACAUGAGAACUCUGUUGUGCUCCAGUUGCAUCCUUGAAAUGUACAGAAAAGUGUACAGGCUCCUAACAUUGAUUUACACAAGAUAGAACAUAUCAAAUGGGACGCUAAUAUGAAGAAAGUACCAUUGUGGUUUAGAGCUUAUUUUUCUGAGAUGUUUGUAGAAUAAGUCUAGAUAAGUAGUUAAUUGAGAGACUGCGACAGAUAGUUGUGCGUUGGUCAUCUACACUGUUCUUUAUUCAGUCUGUUUGUGUGCUCUACACAAACACAUCAGUAAAAUACAUCAGCCAUAGCUGAGGUUGACUGGCCUAGAGUCCCUUUUGUAUGGCACUAAGCCCAGUAAAAACCUUACAGGACAUUGAUACAAUCUGAUCACAGGUGAUCUAGCUACAUGAACUAGCUACUAUGGCCAUCGUUGUAAAAUACAGCUCUGCUAUUGUCUUGCCUAGUCAGUAAUAUCUGCCCGUGUUUUUUUUUUACGCUAAAGCGAAAGGCUGUUGGCUAGCUGGGGAUGAAACAAGUGCACCAUGGGAUAUCGCUGAGGUUUCCCUGACCCCUGAACUCUGAGCUAUUGUUGCCAGGGUUACAGAAGCACCUAAAGCACCUUGUAGCGUGAGGCUAAAGCGGUAGCUGAUACCUGAAGGAGUCCAGAAGACUAGAGACAGGAGUUUUCCCUGGUCAGAUCACAUGGUCAGGAAAACCUCCUGGUCCUAGAGAUGAUAACUGGUCUGUAAGCCAGAGCAGUGAGGUUUAACACAGGAGAUGUUUAAAGGCCUUGGCUCGCUUGUAAACUUCAGACAUGUCUGGAGGGAAGGGUACACACAUGUUCUGUUGUGCCCAUAGGCACAGAUCUAGGAUCAACUUACCUUCCCCAUCAGCAUCAGAGGGUAAAGACAAAAACAGACCCUAGAUCAGCGUCUAGGCCGGGGCAGCUUCAUCCUAGUGCGCAUCACACACCUGACACAUAUAACAUCACACAGAGUGACAUCAGCACCAUGUUUUGGGGUUUGGUGUUUGGGCUGGGAGAUGUUGCGUAAGCAGUAACUGCAUGGUAGGCUUUGAUAGAGAGAGAACGUGCACCAUAUUUACUACAGACAGAAAACACAUAGGCAAACCUCAUUCCACAUAGCAACUAUUGUAUGUACAGUCCUCUCCUCUGUUAGCCUACAUCCAGCUUGUUAGAGAGAGAGAGAGAGAGAGAGAGAGAGAGAGAGAGAGAGAGAGAGAGAGAGAGAUAAGAUAAAAUGGAUCCUGAUUGCUGCUCUAUUUUCUUUCUCCCUCCUUUAUCUGUUAAUGCUCUUGUGGGUUGGGCAGUCCUAGCCAAUGAAAUGCCUCUCUCUCAGACCUGUCCUUUGCCGAAUGGGGUGGCAGACAUGGGCAGGAGGGCGUGGCAGGAGGCAGACAAGAAAGGCAGUGUGAGACAUGGAAAGUGGGCAUAUCCCAGGUUGGACAUCCUCCCACUAUGGAGAAGACUUCCUAUUAGCCCUGACCAGUGUGGUGGGUGGGGUUUGUGGUGUUCCGUUGACGUCCCGUUGGUGCCUCCAGUCGGCCCGCCCCUCACACAGCGCCCUGCGCCAGCGGAGCAACUCCCCCAGGGUGGCGGCCUCGUCCCCCCCACAUCCACGUAGACGCUGGAUCGCCUGGCGGAAGGAGAGGGGUUAAUUAAAUCAUGUAAAAAUGUACUAAUGAUCUCCUAUCAAUCUCAUCCUAGAGAAAGCAAUAAACAGACAGCAUAGAGUACAAUACAGUAAACUACAUAUAGCCAGGGUGAGUAUGAGUAAGAUGCGGAGGGGUCGGUAAUGACCAGCAGUGGGGUAAUAGAGGAGGAGGAUAGGGAAGGAUAGGGAAGACCAAAAAAACAAAUUUUAGCUCAUAUCUCAAUGGGUGUCUAAAAGAGCUGGAGGAAUACCUCUGAUAUAUCAUAUUCAUAUCCUGAUCAUGAUCUGGUUGGCGCAAGCCUCCACAUCAGCUGAGGUGAAAUAGGUCACACCGCAAGAGUAAUCUGGGCCUUAUCCAUCAUUCUGAAAGGAGCCAUAAUCAUUGAGUUGAUUCCCUCUCUGUUCACUCUCAGUGGGCCAGUUCCCUUCUAGGCUGUUAGAAUGGAGGCAGAGGAAAUAAACCUGUGCUCAUCAACUGUGGCCCACUUAUAUAUCAACACUAACAGGGAUAAGGUGUGUGUGUGUGUGUGCUAGUGUGUUUGUGAGCUGGCAAUGGGCUCUGACAGGAUGGUGGCAAGAAGCAGCAACCCCUCACAUACUUGCU